GAACGCAAGAGAGGAUUCAGUCUACAGAACAAUUAGAUCGGUUCUAGCUGAUCGCUAGACGUCGCAGAAUUUUCGGCUAAAAUCCCUACCACGAUGACUGCGAUUUUUUAAGUUAUUCAAACAUAUGAGAGCAAAAUAAUGAUAUUCAUAUAAAACUUUAAUCAAAACGUAUGAUAUUUUAAACAGUGCAAUUGUACAUUAAUUCAAAAUUAACAAAAAUGGUUGGCAUCGUCGGACUAUUCCUAUGCGCUUUAUUGUGUGCUAGUGUCAGUGAUGUACAAGGGGCGUGCAAGCAGUUAAAGAACGAUGACAUGAUAGAAUAUUCCUGUACGGGUGGACAAUUGUCUGAUUUGGACAAUCUUCCUGCAUCGACUGGAAAAAUUCGAAUUUCUCACAUGCCAAUUCAACGAAUAACUGCGGAUACCUUUUCAAGGUUUGGUUUGGAUCUCUGGGUCCUAGGAUGUUCCUACUGUGGUAUAAUGGACAUUGAACCGGGAGCCUUUGAACAUCUAAGUAACCUUCAACAAUUAAGCUUUGACAACAACCAUUUAACCACUAUAAAGGUGUCUUGGUUCAGAAAAUUAAAUUACUUGACGUACUUGGAUCUGAAUUACAAUAACAUAGAGUCUAUUGAGGAUGGCUUGUUCAAAAAUCUACCCGGCCUUGUCGACCUAAGACUAUCUGGUAAUCGUUUAGAAUGCCUAAAUCUUGUAGACAUGUCACAUUUAAAGGGAUUAAAAAGAAUCUUUCUGAGUGAAAAUUCUGAAUUCAAGUGUCCACAAGCUGUCAGUGCUUUUCUCGAGAAGCGCGGAGUAAGUUUCGAUAGCGAUCCAGAAUGGAGUAGAAUUCCAAACGAUUUAAUUUAUCCGGAAAUACCAUACGAUUACGAUGAAGAGAGCAGCAUAGAGGGACAGAGUAUAGAGGAGCAGUCCACGCCACUACCUGCUCACCGCGAAAGAUUGCAUCCAACUAUAACACUAUCUCCAAUUGCAACAACACAAUAUACCCCACCACCGUUCCGUACAACCGAAGAAGUAGUUUAUCGUCCACAUAAUUCUCCAGAUUGGAGAACAACUCCAAGAACAGACGCAGACCCCUACGAAAGCAGAGCAAAAACUACAGUUUCACCAUACGACAUCAACAUGAUAUAUCACCAAUCAAUCCCAGAGGAAUAUUGGAGAACAACUACAAUCUUGUACGGAAGUGGAGGAGAAGCUACAAAUCCAUCAUAUGACGAAGAUACAAGAGCACCAUAUAUUCCACCAAGAACCGUUGCACCAAUCGAACAAGUAACAUAUCCACAACGUGAAACGACGGACUACAGCAGCCAAGACAUAACGACCUUGAGUUCUUGGCCAAGAACCUCGGAAUCCGUCGGUGCUGGUGGCGAAUACGAGGUCUAUCCACCCUACAGAAACCAAGACAAACAUUACACAGAACAGCCGGAUUAUUCAAACCCACCUAACUCAGUCUUUUUGGCAUCGAGCCAAAUACCACCUCAUGUGGAGCUUAACACAGAGCGUUCUAUGGAUCCCUACUCUGGUUGGUCUGCAAAGAAUAGUAUACCAUCAAACGAGAAGUAUCCACCUACAUCUGUACCCAAUAUCGAAAACAAAGCAUCAGAAAUUUCGGUUCCUUCUUCAUACACGACUCAAUCCAUUCACUCUAUCCCACAUAUACCGACUGUAAUGGUUCAACCUGCUCAUCCUGAAAAUGUCUAUCAACCGCCGUACUACGACCCCGCGGUCACUGUUCAUUCACCGCCAUCGGUGAAUAAUUGGCCACAGCAGGAGGAAGGGACAUCGGCAAUCGUGCAAAUUGAAACGACUACCGAUAAGCCAUUGCCUAAUUGUACAACCAGGAGUUUAUCAUCGUCGAGCCAGAGCUCCAUCACGAUGAUCAUCGUUUCCGUUCUUCUUGCGAUUCGCGUCCUUGUGGAGGGAUUUUAGCUAAAAGUCUCGUUAAGCUAUUUAAUAUUUAUCUGUAUAUUCUGAUGGAAUCUCCGACAAUGAAUCAAGUUUUCGUUGACGAAUCGAAUGUUUGCGUGAACCUGUGCGGAUGUAUUUGCUCUCGCAAGCACCGAACUAGAGUUGAACGAAAGGACGUUUAUCUAAUCGCAGACUAUAGAUCGGGUGAUUUUAUAAGUGCUGUUGGUUUCGUUCGUUUUCGGUUUUGGAUCAACUUUCAAGACUUUGUUUAUCGCGAUUCGCUGUCAGAGGAACCAAACGAAUUGAUCGAUUCUUCAGAAGUACCGCGGAGCCUGCAAAACCCAAAGCUGGGCAAAAGAAGCAGAGGAAGCUGAACGUCUAGAAAAGAUGCUGAAGAUCGAAAACGAGGAAAACGCAGCUGCAAACAAUUUGGCGUUGGCGAUUCAGAGCCGUAACGAGGCCAGAGCGAGUCAAUCUGACAAAUUCUUCGAUUCUCUGAUCGACAAAUACGCGAACAUGGCUGGAAAAUCGACGAAGAAGAACUCGUCAGCUAUGAAAACCGUAAAAACCACGAAAAGUACGAAGAAAACAAAGAAGAAGACGUAGGACGAUAGAGUUUUUUCGCACGAAUCUCUCCCUCCACAUUAGAAUAUUCGCGCGACUUUUAUAACUUAAGUAUCAUUAUAACUUAAGUGAUCGAGAAGAGCCAUUUUAUUGUACAUCUUUUUUAAAGGAGGAAGGAAUGAUCAUAUUUAAGUUUUGUAAAUUUGAAACGUGUAUAUCAUCUUUUGAAGCCAUUGUACUGAUUAGAAAUCCAUAAAUCAGUGAUGGAAUUCUUUGUAAUUAUAUGUAGGUAUGUCCCACUCAAAUAUAAAAUUGAAAUAUAUAUAUAUUAAUUUUAAAAUUUA